rnacentral:rRNA from 1 species
UACGUAGGGUGCAAGCGUUGUCCGGAAUUAUUGGGCGUAAAGAGCUCGCAGGCGGUUUGUCGCGUCUGCUGUGAAAACCCGAGGCUCAACCUCGGGCCUGCAGUGGGUACGGGCAGACUAGAGUGCGGUAGGGGGGAUUGGAAUUCCUGGUGUAGCGGUGGAAUGCGCAGAUAUCAGGAGGAACACCGAUGGCGAAGGCAGAGCUCUGGGCCGUAACUGACGCUGAGGAGCGAAAGCAUGGGGAGCGAACAGG